rnacentral:tRNA from 1 species
GCGGGCGUGGCGAAAUUGGCAUACGCGCCAGGUUUAGGUCCUGGUCCCGAAAGGGGUGGAGGUUCGAGUCCUCUCGCCCGCA